rnacentral:rRNA from 1 species
AGAGUUUGAUCAUGGCUCAGAUUGAACGCUGGCGGCAGGCCUAACACAUGCAAGUCGAACGGUAACAUUUCUAGCUUGCUAGAAGAUGACGAGUGGCGGACGGGUGAGUAAUGCUUGGGAACUUGCCUUUGCGAGGGGGAUAACAGUUGGAAACGACUGCUAAUACCGCAUAAUGUCUUCGGACCAAACGGGGCUUCGGCUCCGGCGCAAAGAGAGGCCCAAGUGAGAUUAGCUAGUUGGUAAGGUAACGGCUUACCAAGGCGACGAUCUCUAGCUGUUCUGAGAGGAAGAUCAGCCACACUGGGACUGAGACACGGCCCAGACUCCUACGGGAGGCAGCAGUGGGGAAUAUUGCACAAUGGGGGAAACCCUGAUGCAGCCAUGCCGCGUGUGUGAAGAAGGCCUUCGGGUUGUAAAGCACUUUCAGUUGUGAGGAAAAGUUAGUAGUUAAUACCUGCUAGCCGUGACGUUAACAACAGAAGAAGCACCGGCUAACUCCGUGCCAGCAGCCGCGGUAAUACGGAGGGUGCGAGCGUUAAUCGGAAUUACUGGGCGUAAAGCGCACGCAGGCGGUUUGUUAAGCUAGAUGUGAAAGCCCCGGGCUCAACCUGGGAUGGUCAUUUAGAACUGGCAGACUAGAGUCUUGGAGA